GCUGGCCGCGGGGCUACCAGCACCUCUGCAGCCCGGCAAGUACCUGGCAUCUGGCAUCAGCCUCCACUCGCUUCCAGAGGGGACUCGUUGACUCGAGGCCUUGGGAGGGUGACAAGUUUGGCAAUCGUAAACCUGCUUUUUCUCCCCGCGGCGUGGGGCUGGAUGGCUUUGAAAUCUGCAAACUCGAUUGCCAACAUCUGCAGAGAAGGAAGCAGCCCGAGCGGAGGGAAAGAUUUAUUGGCUUCAGAAGAGGUGGCAGUGCCAAUUUUCCAGGUGCUAAAACAAGAGGUGUAAAAUGAAGAGCAGUAAAAGGAAGCACAUGGGCAAACACCUUUUAUUCCCCCACCCCCUGCUUUCUACCAAGGCCGCCGUCUGCUAAGGCAAACAGGAAUAUUUUCUAAAGUAUUCAAUAUUAAACAUUAUCUAAAACUCAAGCCGAGGCCAGAGCCAGGGUUAGUUGUGUUUCUUUUUUAAAGGGCUGAAGGACCCUUGAUUCUGCGCGGGGAGGAGGCGCACGGUUACCUUUGCAAGGGAAGGGGCCCCCACCCCUUCCCGUGUCUCUCGGUUGCUUGGAUUACCUCCAGAUAUGAAUGUUUCCCAGUUGUCCCCUCUCUUCCCGUGGGAGUGUUGCCAGCAUUCAGGUUGUGGCUGGAUUUUCUUGUUGCAAAUCUGUUCCGCUCCUUUCCGCAAUUCCAGGUCUUAUAGGCACCCGUCCAAGCUUGGAGCCCCCCGUCAGCCUUCCCUGAUUUUCCCUUCCCCAAUUUCUCUGCUUGUUUGUUUCCCUCCAGCCACCCCCCACCCCCUACCCCAUAUUCCUGUUAACAAAGCUCUCGCGGAGAUUGGCUCCAGCACAGAGCAGUAAUUCACAGCCGGGCUAAACUGCAUAAAAAAGAUAGGUACAAUUAGCAGUUUAAAGUUCCAUUAUAGCGUGGCAGUUGGUAGGCAGGGUUGGGUUUUUUUUACGGCUUUAACAAUUUCAUUUGAAACGAUGAUUGCUUCCUGCUCUUUGCAGCCCUUUUUAGGGUCGACAUUUAAAAAAAAAAAAAAAAAAAAA